AGGGAUAUAGCUCAGUGGCACAGCACCUGCCUGGCAAGCACGGGGUCCUGGGUUCGAGUCCCAGUAUCCCAA
rfam:Cavia porcellus supercont2_27 genomic scaffold, whole genome shotgun sequence.